rnacentral:lncRNA from 1 species
UUUCAUCAUCCUCCCUCAAAUCUUUGCUAAAACAAAAGUUAUGAUAAAGAAAAGUGAAUGGGAGAAAUAAUGAUGUAUUUUUUGUUUUUGAUAUAAGAGAAGAAAAAUGAGCGAAUGCGAGAUAAUUAAUUCAAAACAUGCAUCAUUACUUCAUCAAUAUUACCAUUAAAAACAACAAUGUUUAAACACAAGCAACUUUUAACAACAAAGAAACUACAAAUGCAAAAAUAGAAACAAAUCAGUCCAACGAUUGCCAGUGUUGAGGAUGUCUUCCUUUCUGAACAGUAUAGUACAGUAGAGUUAUCAACUGGGGUUUGCACAAGCUGAGGUUGGGUAAGACCAUUUACUGUAGCUAGCAUAACAUUCUCAACAACUGCAGUCUGCUGAAUGUUG